rnacentral:rRNA from 1 species
GGAUGAGUUGUGGUUAGGGGUGAAAUGCCAAUCGAAUUCGGAGCUAGCUGGUUCUCCCCGAAAUGCGUUUUGGCGCAGCGGUAAAUGUUAUAAUUUAGGGGUAAAGCACUGUUACGUAUGCGGGCUGGUAAUUCGGUACCAAAUCGUUGCAAACUAAGAAUACUAAAUGGAUAAUUUACCAGUGAGACUGUGGGGGAUAAGCUUCAUUGUCAAGAGGGAAACAGCCCAGAGCACCAGUUAAGGCCCCAAAAUAAUUACUAAGUGGCAAAGGAGGUGGGAGUGCAGAAACAAUCAGGAGGUUUGCUUAGAAGCAGCAAUCCUUUAAAGAGUGCGUAAUAGCUCACUGAUCGAGUAAACCUGCGCCGAAAAUGUACGGGACUAAGUAAUUUGCCGAAACUGUGCGAUAUAUUGAAUAUAUCGGUAGGGGAGCGUUCUGUUGUAGGUUGAAGUAUUAGCGGAAGCGGAUAUGGACGAAGCAGAAGUGAGAAUGUCGGCUUGAGUAACGAAAAUAUAGGUGAGAAUCCUAUACCCCGAAAACCCAAGGUUUCCUCCGGAAGGCUCGUCCGCGGAGGGUAAGUCAGGACCUAAGGCGAGGCUGAAAAGCGUAGUCGAUGGAUAACGGGUUAAUAUUCCCGUACCAUUAUUUGUUGAUAUCGAGGGACGGAGAAGGCUAAGCUAGCCGGAUAUUGGUUUACCGGUUUAAGCGUUCGAGAUGUUGAGGAACGGAGAAAACGUUCUGAGUUGAGGCGUGAAUACGAGAUGCUACGGCGUCGAAGUAGUGUAUGUCAGACUUCCAAGAAAAGCUCGCAAUGUCGUAGAUAAAUAAUGCCUGUACCAUAACCGACACAGGUGGGUAGGUAGAGUAUACUAAGGGGCGCGAGAUAACUCUCUCUAAGGAACUCGGCAAAAUAACUCCGUAACUUCGGGAGAAGGAGUGCCUUAUUUAAUAAGGUUGCAAUAACAAGAUCCAAGCAACUGUUUACCAAAAACACAGGUCUCCGCUAAGUCGUAAGACGAUGUAUGGGGGCUGACGCCUGCCCAGUGCCAGAAGGU